UUAUAUCCCAGUAACAUCUCAAAUAAAUUAGCCUACCUCAGUUUUCCACCUCAAUAAUUCGCUAGGACUUCCAGGAUCAUGUGAACAUACACGGUAAUGUAUUUCCUCGAAGUGACCGUCGGAGCAAAACUUUCACUAGUAUCAGCGUGUAGAGAAGUUCGUAAAGUGAUACGUUUGCUCGUUUGCGUUUAGAACGACCAAGUAGCAGAACAACAUUCCUUGAUGCCAUAUUAAUUGACGGAUUCCACCAAGAAUCCUGUUUGUGGUCAACAACUGAUUGCUGAUCCAAAACCACUCUGUAGCUGUCCUCUGGAAUAAAAACCCAGAAAAAGCGACGGAACUGAAAUCCCAGACAUCAUGACCAUGUUUCCUUCCGGAUGUCCACGAUCACAGUUGUCGGCCCUUUCAACAGAUCUUACGGACAAACUCCGCAAACCACACAGGCUCUUAAACAUGGCGUGACGCUGCUCUUUAAGUUACCACCCAGGAACCAACGCUGCCUGCAGCUCAACCUAGCUGAUGGAUCUGAGUGCGGUCGCCAACCUCCAAUCACCCCAGACACGAGCCCCAGGACCCCACACCACCCCACGGUA
rnacentral:lncRNA from 1 species